rnacentral:rRNA from 1 species
AACGAACGCUGGCGGCAGGCCUAACACAUGCAAGUCGAGCGAAGCCUUCGGGCUUAGCGGCGGACGGGUGAGUAACGCGUGGGAACGUGCCCUUUGCUACGGAAUAGCCCCGGGAAACUGGGAGUAAUACCGCAUGUGCCCUUCGGGGGAAAGAUUUAUCGGCAAAGGAUCGGCCCGCGUUGGAUUAGGUAGUUGGUGGGGUAAUGGCCUACCAAGCCGACGAUCCAUAGCUGGUUUGAGAGGAUGAUCAGCCACACUGGGACUGAGACACGGCCCAGACUCCUACGGGAGGCAGCAGUGGGGAAUCUUAGACAAUGGGGGAAACCCUGAUCUAGCCAUGCCGCGUGAUCGAUGAAGGCCUUAGGGUUGUAAAGAUCUUUCAGUGGGGAAGAUAAUGACUGUACCCACAGAAGAAGCCCCGGCUAACUCCGUGCCAGCAGCCGCCGUAAAAC